rnacentral:lncRNA from 1 species
ACCGAUCACCGCGUACGACGUCGUUUUGCACAAGGUACUCCUCCUUGACCAAUUCUUCCCCGAUCGGUCUUGACUGUUUGGUGUGUUAAUUCAAAAGGAUGCCACGUUCCUAGCAUUUGUUUUGGUUUGUUUCUCUUCUUUUGUUCUCAUGGCCUCUGUUUGGAUUCUCAGAAAAUACUCCCUAGAAAGAAAAUAACAAUUCGGAAUAUUAGUCACUGGUUUUUGCAAUCCUACGUUUUCUCAGCAACCGAACGGAACAAAGAGGGUUGGUGUGGACCCUCAAAUAGUAAAUGAUGAUCGAAUACGUACCGUGAUUCAAAUAUUUUCUCUAAUUCAACUCAAUGUUUCAUGCAUAUAUUCCUUUCCCUUCUGCUUCGUUGCUAAGAAAAGGAAGGAAAAAGGAAGGCAAACACAUUCCUUGAUGAUAUAUGCUCUGUUGAUUUUUCGUUCCUAAAGUUGAAAUUAGAGUUGUGUGAUGGCCUUUAAUUUUUUUAUUUUUUAUUUUUAUUUUUUUUCUUAUUUCUUCCUUUUGUAUGAUUGUGUGCUAAAUGAUGAAUAAUUAAAAUUUUAAAGGUUUUUAUUUUAUUUUAUUUUAUUAUUUUUUAUUUUAAAAUUUCUCUCAUUUUCGCCGGGAGCAAACGGGUGAUUUGGUUUGUAAAUGGUUGGGAUCAUGAGUGAAAUUAUUUGUCCUUAAUGUUGAAAGCAAAAAUGUGUUUCAUUUUGUAAUUAAUCAAGCAUACUGCAAAUGUGUUUGCAACUUGUAUUCAAACUGCAAAAUUUCUUGGUGAUCAGUAAUCAAGGUCAAUAAAGUCAAGAAUCGAAAACAAUACAACAUCACAAAUCACUCUAAUGGUUUUGCUGUGAAAAGCUAUCAAUCUGGAGGUAGAUGUUUGAAUUGUGCUUUAAUAUCUGGUAAUGUGUUAACUCCCCAGAACACACUCGUAUAAGUGAUUAUGGUGUGCUAUCUCGCCAAUGAGCAAUUGGCACAUAGAUUAUCAUGUAUGUUUGCAUCAUAUGGCUUGUGGACUUUAUCAAGUGUCAUGUGUCAUAAAGCACCAUGGUUUGGGGCCAAUAGGAUGAAUAUGUGCAUAGUCUUCAUGGUUUUGUCUCCUUCCUGUGCUAUGGGACGGUGGUGAACUAGCUUUGAUGCCCAUCUUUUAAGUGGAAACUUGAGUUCUUGGCUGUCCACAAGACAUGAGUUCCAGGGAAAGGAUCCAAUCACUUCACUCCUUUGGGAUGUAGAAGCUGAUAUUGCAGCAUAACUCUUAUGCAGUGGUAGAUGGGAUCCUUAGUCUUAGUCACUUCCAUUGGUGCAGUAAAAUUAUACAGAAUUGUUUGCUUUAGCCUCAUUGGUGAAGACUGUCACACUUUCAGUCUACACAAGAGACUCCGUUCUUGAUUUGCAGGAGUAUAUGUUUCAUUAUGUAUAACUGAGUGAAUUUUGACCUCCUUACUAUCAAGAUUUUCCAUGGGAUAAUUACCUGAUUCUUCCAAGGCAGUCUAUCAAGAUGUUUGACCUCCUUGCUCUCAAGGCAGUCUACUGUCCUCUUAUACUCUUAAUAACUGACUGGUCAGUGGUUGAAGUCUUUCCCAACAAUGAGCUCUUGUCAACAGAUGCUAAUUGAAUAUUAGCUGAACAGUUGAGAGGGUCAAUCUUGUUCUCACUUCUAAUCUUCUAAUCAUCAUGGAAUGGUUGCAUGAAAAUGAACAUUCUCCCAUACCGCAGGAAAAACAAAACCACGUCUGAAUCAACAAGAAAGAAAAAUAUGAUAAAGUUAGCAAAGUUGCUAUUUGGACUAUCCUACUGAGAUAGUCCUCUCAUUAUCUUCAAAAACUGAAAAUAUCUCCAUUAGAUCCUUGUGAGAAUUCUCUCAUUGGGACCUUCACCACUGCAUUUGGAUAAAGUGAUUUAGAAAAAAAAAGAAAGAAAUUGAUUUGAAAUCCUUAAGUUUGGUGUUUGGAAUUGAGGGAAUUCAUAAAGCAAUGAUUUCAAAGGAUUUGGUAGAGGAAUAAUUAAGUUUUCAAUUCUUUAAAAAAUGGUGGAAUUUCACAAGAUUCGGAUUUCAUUGAAGUAGAUGCCAAGUCACAACUUCUUUUCCAAUAUUGCACUUAUUUCUCUAUCUUCUUACAAAUUAUUAUGUAUAUUCUUAUCUCUAAUGCUAAGUCACAACUUCCUUUUUUUCAAUAUUGCACUUAUUUCUCUAUCUUCUUCUUUACAAAUUAGUAUGUAUAUUCUUAUCUCUUUCACUUGGAUUCUUCUGUCUUUCACUCACUUCCUUUUGAGUCCCUUAAACUCCGAGCUAUUUGAAUUCUCAUGAUUGGGUUUCUCCUCUAAAAGUAUUAUAUUUGCUUGGCCUUCUCAUUGUUCGGAUCGCUGUUGGUUUUGUUUCCAUCAUUCAUGCUGAAGGACUAUGGUUUUCCAUAUAAUAUCCAGCAUCUCUUUUGUAUGCGUUGGUUUCAUGCAAUGAGUACACCAGAGGUUGUCCUUGUUAUUUAGCUGCGUGGAUACCUUUCCUCUACAAGAAUCUAUGCUAUGGAUUGGAUUGCUUUGUGAGCUUGAAACAAUAAGGACAGACCCUUCAUUUACUAGAGUGUCUAGCGUUACACUCUUUCUCCCUUCGUUAGUCCUUAUGAUUGAAAAUACUUAAGGAUGUUAGUGAUUCAUUCCCAAGUACUUGAACACGUACUCAAUCAUAUUCCAUGUUAAGUCCAACCAAGAAUUCUAAUACUCACUUUCUUUUAAUAAACUUAAGAUAUGUAAUAGCAUCCUCACUAUUCUUCAUUUUAAGAUUUUGAUAAUAGUCCAACUCAAACCAUAAUCCUCUUUUGAAAAUUGAGAAUGAUUUCUGAAUAAUGCUUGUGUAUUCAUUGAAUGUGUUUGUAACCUAUUUACAGUGUUUACAAUGGGAAAAAGAAAAGGAAAUUACUCCAGUCUAGGCCUAGAAUUACUCCCGUAAAUCAACUACUAAUUGUAAGGAAACCUUGAUUAUUUUGUUCCUUGGUCUUGGAGCUUAUAACGAAUGUGCAAUCUAUCCUAAGCUUCUUUAGAUCUACGCACAACAGAAAAUAUAACAUUUAAAACUGACUUAGAGGUUUAGAUUAUCAUACCUUUUUUUUUUUUUGAUAGGUAUUUGAAGAUUGUAUUAAUUUUUUAAAAAAAGUACCCACGAUGUAACAACACAACCAAAGAACAAGAAGGCGCGAGUGCACAAAAACUAGCAACUGCACUCAAAGAGUCUAACUAAUCCAAAAAAUCUAAUAACGACAUAGAAUCAUCCCUAAUGUAUAGUCUAACCCAAUCCCAAAAAAGAUACAAAAAAGAACUUUUAAUUGUUUGGUCCAAGCUUUCACAAUUCUCAAAGACUCUCCCAUUUCUCUCCCUCUAAAUGGACCAAAAAAGGCAAAGAGGAACAACUUUCCAAGCCUUUUUCCUUUUUUUGCCAACAAAGGAGUCGCCCCAACUGAAGAGUAUCCCUCUCAUCGAAGAGUGCAUAACCCACUGUAUAUCAAAAAGAGCAAAAAUCAAUUGCCACAAAAUGUGAGCUUUCAGACAAUGUAGGAGAAUAUGAUCACUUGUCUUUUCUUCUGCUUUGCACAUAUGGUAUUUGUUAGGCAUCCUCCAACCCCUCUUUUUGAACUGAUCUUGUGUCAAAAUCUUGGCUCAAGUUGCUUCUUAAGCAAAAAAACUAACUCUUAUAGGAGCCUAAAAGUUCCAAACUACACCAACCACUCUCCUACUUGCCAAGGAGGAGUAGAAAGACUUGUUGAAAAGUCACAAUUCUUUGUCUCCAACCACAACAUAAUAUAUCAUCAAUACCCAAACAGAUGGAACAAUCAUGUAGCCUCUUGAAAAUGACAUUUGCUUUCUCCAACUCUCAAUCAUUUAAUUGUCUAAUAAACUUGGGGCCCCAACUACCACCAUCUUAGAUAUCAACCACCCAAGCAUCUUUUGAAGAGGCUAUAGAAAAAAGAUUUGGAAAAGAAUCCCUCAAAGGCAUAUCCCUGUACCACUUAGCCUUCCAGAAUUUCAUCUUAUUCUCAGAACUGACCUUAAAACUAGUUUUAUCUUUGAAAGCAUCCUAACCAUUUCUGAUUGCCUUCCAUGCCCCCAUUUCAUAUCUCUCUUUUACCUCUUUCGUGUACCAACCCCCAUUAUUUAGCUUGUACUUACCAACAAUUACUUGCUUCUAAAGAGGAUCCCUUUCACUUAUAAAUCUCUAAGACCAUCUUCUUAGAAGAGCCUUGUUAAAGAUCAAAAGAUUUUUGAAUCCCAAGCUCCAUUUUUGUUUUUCCAAGCAAACAACAAACCAAUUCACUAGAUGGGCUUGCUAACUAAAGCGCCCCCCCUCCAAAGGAAGUCCCUUGAAUCUUUUUCAGUAUUGCCCCUACCAUCUUUGGGAUGACAAAAAGGGAUAUGGUGUAAAUUGGUAAGUUGGAUAAGGUGCACUUAAUCAGAAUCUGUCUUUCACCUUUUGAGAGAUAUUGUCUUUUCCACAAAGCAAGCCUUUUCUAUAAACGUUCUUCCACCCCUUCCCAAACCCUAGAGGACUUGUAAGGAGCUCCCAAAGAGAGCCUUAAAUAUGUGGUUCAGAGAGAACCCACCUUACAACCUAAAACCUCAACAAGAUCCUCCAUAUUUGGGACAUCCCCUACUGGAAUCAACUCAAUUUUCUCCAAAUUAAUUUUCAACCUUGAACAUGAGUUUGGGCAUUAGAAACCUCUCAAUUCUUAAUAAAGCUCUUUUGGAAAAAUGGUUUUAGAAGUUUGUGUGCAAAAGGAACCUCCUUUGGAAACGUGUUAUUGUAAGGAGUAAUGGGCAGAAAAAAAUAGGGGAUGGUCCUCUAAAAAAGUAAGAUAGGGGUAUGAAGUGGGGGUGUGGAAGGCGAUCGGAAAUGGUUGGGAGAUGCUCAAAGAAAAAACAAGUUUCAAGGUUAGGCCUGACAAUAGGAUGAAGUUCUGGACAAAUAAGUGGUGUAGAGACAGAGCCUUGAGGGACUUAUUUCCAACCCUUUAUUCUAUAACCUCCUCAAAAGAUGCUUGGAUGGAGGAUGUUUGGGAUAGUGGGAGUUGGACCCAAGGUUUGUUAGAUAGUUGCAUGAUUGGGAGCUGGAGGUGGUGGAUUAUUUUUUUGGGAGCUUGUAUGAACACUCCAUUAGCUUGGAUUCUAAGGAUACUAUAGUGUGGUUGGGAUCAAAGAAUGGUAACUUCUCUGUGAAAUCUUAUUACUCCUUCUUGGUGAAUGGGGGAACGACACCUUUCCCUCAUGGCAUUGUUUGGAAUUCUUGGGCUUCGGUGAGAGUUAGCUUCUUUGCUUGGGAGGCAACUUGGGCCAGGAUUUUGAUCUUGGAUCAACUCAGAAGGAGGUAGUGGAGGCUUCCCAACAGAUGCUACAUGUGUAACGAAAAAGAAGAAAAGUGUGAUCACAUCCUCCUUCAUUGCAUUAAAGCAUGCAUUUUGUGGGAGUUGAUUUUUUCCUUGUUUGGAGUAUAAUGGGUGAUGCACUCUUCAGUUAGAGGGUUUCUUCUAAGUUGGCGCGGUUCUCCUGUUGGUAGAAAAAAGGAAAAAAGUCUUGAAAGGUUGCUCUAUCAUGCGUGUUUUGGACCUUAUGGAGGGAAAGAAAUAGGAAAUCUUUCAAUAACUAUGAAUGUUUGGAUCAAACAAUUAAGAGUUCUUUCUCGAAUCUUUAUUGGGAGUGGGUAAGAAUGUAUAUUGGGGACGGAUCAUUAUCAUUAUUAGAAUUUGUGGAUUGGAUAGGCUCUUUGUAGGGUGUGGUUGAUGGUUUUUGUAUUCUUGCGCCCAUUUUGGGUUUUUUGGUUCCUUUGUAUACAUCGUGUAUACUUCUUCUUAUUCUAAUACACUUACACUUAUAAAAAAACCCUUGGACAUGCCUCAAACCACAUGAAGAGCAUCAUUUGCAAAUAACAAAUGGGAAAUCUCCAUUUCCACAUCAUAUCUUCCUUUGACUAGGAACCCAUAAAUAAUAUCACCUUCCUUUUCCCUGGAGAGCAAGCAGAAGAGAGUCUCCAUCGCUAAGAUGAACAAAUAAGGAGAUAAAGGUCUCCUUGGCUCAAGCCCCUAGAACUUUGGAAAAAGCUGGAAAGGGAACCAUUAACCAAGACAAAAAAACGUGCUGUAGAGAUACAUCGUUUGAUCCUUCCUAACCACUUGGUACCAAACCCCAUUUUAUCCAAAAUGGCAAGGAUAAAACUCCAAUUGACAUGUUUAUGAGCCUUUUCAAUGUCAAGCUUGCAAAUGAUGCUUGCCAAAUUGUCUUUAAUUCUGGAAUCAAUGACCUCAUUUGUUAUCAAGACAACAUCCAAAAUUUGUCUUCUCUCCACAAAGGCAUGUUGAAAAAUCUAAGACUAAGGUACCCACCACCUUUUUAAGUUUGUUUUUCUAGAACCUUAGCCAAGAGCUUGUAUAAACCUCCCACCAAGCUAAUAUGUCUAAAGUAUAGUAACUUGGUGAAUCAUUACUAUUUGAUAGCUAAUGUCACGAUUCACCAUAAGUCUUAUCUAAUGUAUAACCAACCAUACACACUAAUGCACUCACUAUGGGAAAACCAUCCCGAUGACCAGGACAAGUUGUCCCUUCAAUUACAAGGUAGUGUAUUAUAGUUUCUGAUGGAUUACCCAAAUCUAUGAACUGACUGUGAACUAUUUAUCAUCUUGCAAGGAACUCAUGACUUGGAUUUUCUAUACAACUCUUAAUACACUCGAAUCAUGUAUGAUACAAUUAAUAAGGAUGUGAAUGCUCAAAAUAUAAUUAAUGUAGAUAAGGAUAAUAAAGGGAACUAAAAUCAUAAUAAAUAAAUUUAUUAAUGAAGCUCAAAUCUGUUACAUCAUGUCAUGCUUUUUAAAGCUCUAUCCUAAUUACAAGAAAUAAAUAAGCUAUUAAGGCAAUCAUUAACUACAAGAAAUAAAUCAAGUUAACUGUACCAAAAAUAAAUAAAUUAUUGCAUUGAUUCUCCAACACUUCCCCUCAAGUUGGUAAGUAAAUGUUUUUUAUUCUCAACUUGUUUGUAAUAGAUUGAAAUGGUUUAGCUGCAAGUCCCUUGGUUAGUAUGUCAAGUGUUCCCAUUUAUUUUAUAUCAUUCUUUUAGAGUGAAUCUUGGUCUUUAUCUCAUAAAUUUGAUCAACAUCUUAGACUUUGCAAUAUAUUUGCUUCACUGCUUCCCAAAUUUUAUUGUGGUGGGCAGGACACACAAAUUCCGUUGAUUUCGGGUUACAUUUCAUUCUACAGUCUGGACAUGAUCAUUGAGUCUUCCUCAUCCUUGGCAGCAAAAUUGAGAUCAUUCUCACUUGGUGCGAACAAUCAAGUAGUUGAGCUUGCUUUUUUCCUUUAAAAACAUAUGCACAUACUGGGACCAUACUAGAUGGUUUUGGCCAUUAAAUCUAAAUGAGGGCUAAAGGUUUUAAUAUUCACUGGUAGGUGUUUGUUUUGGAAUGUAGUGUUUGAGGUUAAGAUUUUCUGAGGUUUUGUUUUCUAAGCUUUUUGACUUAGUGAGCAGCUAAAUAAAGCCAAAACUUGAGAGAGUAGUGAUGCAAUAGCUGAUGUGAAAAACUGUUGAAUUACAACAACUGAUCAAUGAGGAGAGAAAAAAAUGGUGACAACAAUGAAGACCACAUGAGAUAGAGAAUAGCGACAAUAAAGGCCAUUGGAAAUCGAUAAGAAUGAAGACCAUUAGGAAAAAAAAAUUGGAAUUGAACUUAGAGACCUGGAACAUACGCUGAUGCCAUGUAGAAAAGAAUGAUUUUAUUUAUGUAUUUCUGACAAAAUGAUACAGUAUUUAGAGUGUACAGUUGUAUAAAAGUUGAAAACUAAAUUACACAAAAUCAGGAAGUUGACUAAUUCCUAAAUAUUCUUUACCCUACAAAUUGGAAAAAUAAAAUAGGAAAGUAUACAACUAUACAAUCUUGAAAAUCAGAGAAUUAAUUUCAUACAACUGUACAAUCUUGGAAAUCAGGGAAUUAAUUCCUGGUAUUUGCAAUAUGAUGAACAUCUCUCAUUUCAAAAUGGUGAAUUGGUAGGAGAGAUUUUUAAUGUUUAGAGAAUGAGAUAUGGAUAGGUAGAGCCCAUGUGGAGUCCACUGACGGAUGGUACAACCCAAUUGAAAAGAACAUUUUGAGAAACAUUUUGGGAAUUAGUAUUAGAGUGCAUAAAUUUCUAAAUAUUUUUAAAUUUAAAAAGAUAUUUAUUUGUUUAUAAAUCAUGGUACUGAAACAAACUUUUCCCUGUUAUUUAUGUUGAAACUAUAGUAAGAAAAGUGUCUCUACUGCCUCUUUUAUUUGAUUUUGAUGAAUUUAUGCAUGUCUGUUGGUUAGACUGGUUUUUUCCUCAUGGAGUAUCUAGCUCUCCAAAUUAAAGAAUGUGUGAUUGAUGUUAUCAUUUACUCUAAUCUUUGAAGCAUCUUCGCCACUAGUCUAGUUUUCUCUUUUCCAUUGUUGUUACUCACAUUUCCAAUUUGGUUUGGUGCUUUCUGUAGGUUUGUAUGCUUUUACUUUGAAGUGUCUGUCUUAAUGUAUUGAGGAACACCUGUUUUAAUGUAUUGAGGAACACCUGACUGUUGUUUGCCUGAAAGAACCAGUAAGCAAAUAUGAGAACUGGAUCAAUCUGAUAUGGUUAUGAUGGAAAAGCAAACUAGGACGGAUAGGAUUAGCAAUCUGCCAUGGGAUGUGUUGGACGCUAUCCUUGUGCACUUGCCACUA